UAGUCCACGCCGUAAACGAUGAGUGCUAAGUGUUAGAGGGUUUCCGCCCUUUAGUGCUGCAGCAAACGCAUUAAGCACUCCGCCUGGGGAGUACGGCCGCAAGGCUGAAACUCAAAGGAAUUGACGGGGGGCCCGCACAAGCGGUGGAGCAUGUGGUUUAAUUCGAAGCAACGCGAAGAACCUUACCAGGUCUUGACAUCCUCUGACACCUCUGGAGACAGAGCUUUCCCCUUCGGGGGACAGAGUGACAGGUGGUGCAUGGUUGUCGUCAGCUCGUGUCGUGAGAUGUUGGGUUAAGUCCCGCAACGAGCGCAACCCUUGCCCUUAGUUACCAUCAGUUCGGCUGGGAACUCUAAGGGGACUGCCGGGGUCAACCCGGAGGAAGGUGGGGAUGACGUCAAGUCCUCAUGGGCCCUUAUGUCUGGGGGCUACACACGUGCUACAAUGGUCGGUACAGAGCGCAGCGAAAUCGUGAGA
rnacentral:rRNA from 1 species